UACGUAGGGCGCGAGCGUUAAUCGGAAUUACUGGGCGUAAAGCGUGCGUAGGCGGUUUUGUAAGUCCGAUGUGAAAUCCCCGGGCUUAACCUGGGAAUGGCAUUUGGGACUGCAAGGCUGGAGUUUGGCAGAGGAGACUGGAAUUCCUGGUGUAGCAGUGAAAUGCGUAGAUAUCAGGAGGAAUACCGAUGGCGAAGGCAGGUCUCUGGGCUAUAACUGACGCUCAUGCACGAAAGCGUGGGGAGCAAACAGG
rnacentral:rRNA from 1 species